rnacentral:rRNA from 1 species
AUUGAACGCUGGCGGCAUGCCUUACACAUGCAAGUCGAACGGCAGCACGGGUGCUUGCACCUGGUGGCGAGUGGCGAACGGGUGAGUAAUAUAUCGGAACGUACCUUAUUGUGGGGGAUAACGCAGCGAAAGCUGUGCUAAUACCGCAUAAUCCCUAAGGGGGAGAGCGGGGGACCGUAAGGCCUCGCGCAAUUAGAGCGGCCGAUACCUGAUUAGCUAGUUGGUGAGGUAGAGGCUCACCAAGGCAACGAUCAGUAGCUGGUCUGAGAGGACGAUCAGCCACACUGGGACUGAGACACGGCCCAGACUCCUACGGGAGGCAGCAGUGGGGAAUUUUGGACAAUGGGGGCAACCCUGAUCCAGCGAUGCCGCGUGAGUGAAGAAGGCCUUCGGGUUGUAAAGCUCUUUUGUCAGGGAAGAAACAGCAGCUCUAACACAGUAUGCGAAUGACGGUACCUGAAGAAUAAGCACCGGCUAACUACGUGCCAGCCGCCGCGGUAA